UAUCUCUGUAGAGUCUGCAUAUCAAUAAGCGGAGGAAAAGAAACUAACAAGGAUUCCCUUAGUAACGGCGAGUGAAGCGGGAAGAGCUCAAAUUUGAAAUCUUCAAGGGUUUCCCUUGACGAAUUGUAGUUUAUAGAAGUGUUUUCUGUUAGAGAGGUGGUAAAAGUUCUUUGGAAUAGGACAUCAUAGAGGGUGAGAAUCCCGUAUUUGAUCACUUUCUACUAACGUUGUGAUACACUUUCAACGAGUCGGAUUGUUUGGGAAUGCAGUCCAAAAUGGGUGGUAAAUUUCAUCUAAAGCUAAAUAUUGGCGAGAGACCGAUAGCGAACAAGUACCGUGAGGGAAAGAUGAAAAGAACUUUGAAAAGAGAGUUAAACAGUACGUGAAAUUGUCAAAGGGGAAGCGUUUGACACCAGUGUUGUUUUCUCGAAAAUCAAUUAAAAAAGGCUGGAUUUUGUGUUGUAUUGACUUUAUCAGCUUUCUGCACUCUUUUCUUGUCUUUUUUAAUGCACUUUUCGUUUAACAAGUCAACAUCAAUUUCUUUUGUUGUAAAAGGGUCAUUGGAAGGUGGCUUUCUUUUCGGAGAAAGUGUUUAUAGCCUUUGACUUCUGCAAUCGGAGAGAUUGAGGUCUGCAGCGUAGAUCCUUCGGGGUUAGAUAUAUUUGUGCUAAGUCAUAGCCUUUCAUAGACAACUUGUUGACUAUGAUCAGUCAUGUAGCUUACUCGCUUAUGUCAUUUUACCUACGCUUAGGAUGUUGAUGUGAUACUGCGAGCA
rnacentral:rRNA from 1 species